CACGUAGGGCGCAAGCGUUGUCCGGAAUUAUUGGGCGUAAAGAGCUCGUAGGCGGUCUGUUACGUCUGCUGUGAAAACCCUGGGCUUAACCCUGGGCUUGCAGUGGAUACGGGCAGACUAGAGUUCGGCAGGGGAGACUGGAAUUCCUGGUGUAGCGGUGAAAUGCGCAGAUAUCAGGAGGAACACCGGUGGCGAAGGCGGGUCUCUGGGCCGAUACUGACGCUGAGGAGCGAAAGCGUGGGGAGCGAACAGG
rnacentral:rRNA from 1 species